CCUACGGGAGGCAGCAGUAGGGAAUCUUCCGCAAUGGACGAAAGUCUGACGGAGCAACGCCGCGUGAACGAUGAAGGCUUUCGGGUCGUAAAGUUCUGUUGUCAGGGAAGAACAAGUACCGGAGUAACUGCCGGUACCUUGACGGUACCUGACCAGAAAGCCACGGCUAACUACGUGCCAGCAGCCGCGGUAAUACGUAGGUGGCAAGCGUUGUCCGGAAUUAUUGGGCGUAAAGCGCGCGCAGGCGGUUCCUUAAGUCUGAUGUGAAAGCCCCCGGCUCAACCGGGGAGGGUCAUUGGAAACUGGGGAACUUGAGUGCAGAAGAGGAGAGCGGAAUUCCACGUGUAGCGGUGAAAUGCGUAGAGAUGUGGAGGAACACCAGUGGCGAAGGCGGCUCUCUGGUCUGUAACUGACGCUGAGGCGCGAAAGC
rnacentral:rRNA from 1 species